GGGACGCAGUGGGGGUCAAUGGGGGGCCGUGGGGGUCAAUGGGGGUCCCUGGGGGUCAAUGGGACUCUGUGGGGGUCAAUGGGGGUUCAAUGGGGGCAAUGGGGGUUCGUGGGGCUCAAUGGGACUCAAUGGGGGUUCAAUGGGGGUUCAAUGGGACUCAGUGGGGGUCAAUGACAGUCUGUGGGGGUCAAUGGGGGUUCAAUGGGACUCAAUGGGGUUCAAUGGGAGUCCGUGGGGGUCAAUGGGGGUUCAAUGGGGGUUCAGUGGGACUCAGUGGGGUUCAAUGGGGGUUCAAUGGGACUCAGUGGGGGUCAAUGGGAGUCCGUGGGGGUCAAUGGGGGUCCCUGGGGGUCAAUGGGGGUUCAAUGGGACUCAGUGGGGUUCAAUGGGGGGCCGUGGGGGUCAAUGGGGGUCCCUGGGGGUCAAUGGGGGUUCAAUGGGGGUUCAGUGGGACUCAGUGGGGUUCAAUGGGGGUUCAAUGGGACUCAGUGGGGGUCAAUGGGAGUCCGUGGGGGUCAAUGGGGGUCCCUGGGGGUCAAUGGGGGUUCAAUGGGACUCAGUGGGGUUCAAUGGGAGUCUGUGGGGGUCAAUGGGAGUCCGUGGGGGUCAAUGGGGGUCCCUGGGGGUCAAUGGGGGUUCAAUGGGACUCAGUGGGGUUCAAUGGGAGUCUGUGGGGGUCAAUGGGAGUCCGUGGGGGUCAAUGGGACUCAAUGGGGGUCAAUGGGGGUCCCUGGGGGUCAAUGGGACGCAGUGGGGGUGAAUGGGGGUUCAAUGGGGGGCAAUGGGGGUUCGUGGGGCUCAAUGGGACUCAAUGGGGGUUCAAUGGGACUCAGUGGGGUUCAAUGGGACUCAAUGGGGGGUUCAAUGGGACUCAGUGGGGUUCAAUGGGAUUCCGUGGGGGUCAAUGGGGGUUCAAUGGGGGUUCAAUGGGACUCAGUGGGGUUCAAUGGGGGUUCAAUGGGGGUCAAUGGGACUCAAUGGGGGUCAAUGGGAGUUCAAUGGGCCUCAGUGGGGUUCAAUGGGAGUCCGUGCGGGGUUAAUGGGGGACGAUGGGGGUUCAAUGGGGGUUCAAUGAGACUCAGUGGGGGUCAAUGACAGUCUGUGGGGGUCAAUGGGCGUUCAAUGGGACUCAGUGGGGUUCAAUGGGAGUCCGUGGGGGUCAAUGGGGGUUCAAUGGGACUCAGUGGGGUUCAAUGGGGGUUCAAUGGGGGUCAAUGGGGGUUCAAUGGGAGUCUGUGGGGGUCAAUGGGGGUUCAAUGGGGGUUCAAUGGGACUCAAUGGGAGUCAAUGGGGGUUCAGUGGGACUCAGUGGGGUUCAAUGGGACUCAAUGGAGGUCAAUGGGGGUUCAAUGGGGGUUCAAUGGGAGUCUGUGGGGGUCAAUGGGGGUCCCUGGGGGUCCCUGGGGGUUCAGUGGGACUCAGUGGGGUUCAAUGGGAUUCAAUGGGGGUCAAUGGGGGUUCAAUGGGAGUCUGUGGGGGUCAAUGGGGGUUCAAUGGGGGGCAAUGGGGGUUCAAUGGGACUCAGUGGGGUUCAGUGGGGGUUCAAUGGGGGGCAAUGGGGGUUCAGUGGGACUCAGUGGGGUUCAAUGGGACUCAAUGGGGGUCAAUGGUGGUUCAGUGGGACUCAGUGGGGGUCAAUGUGAGUCCAUGGGGGUCAAUGGGGGUCCCUGGGGGUCAAUGGGGGUUCAAUGGGACUCAGUGGGGUUCAAUGGGGGUUCUAUGGGGGUUCAGUGGGAGUCCGUGGGGGUCAAUGGGGGUUCAAUGGGGGUUCACUGGGACUCAGUGGGGUUCAAUGGGACUCAGUGGGGUUCAGUGGGAGUUCAAUGGGUUUCAAUGGGGGUUCAGUAGGAUUCAGUGGGAGUUCAAUGGGGUUCAAUGGGGUUCAGUAGGAUCCAAUGGGGUUCAAUGGGAGUUCAAUGGGUUUCAAUGGGAGUCAAUGGGGUUCAAAUGGAUUCAAUGGGGCUCAAAGGGAUUCAAUGGGAGUCAAUGGGGGUUCAAUGGGGUUCAAUGGGUUUCAAUGAGAGUCAAUGGGGUUCAAAUGGAUUCAAUGGGGCUCAAAGGGAUUCAAUGGGAGUCAAUGGGGGUUCAAUGGGGGUCAAUUGGGUUCAAUGGGAAUCAAUGGGGUUCAAAGGGAUUCAAUGGGAGUCAAUGGGGUUCAGUGGGAGUCAAUGGGGUUCAAAGGGAUUUGAUGGGAUUCAAUGGGGUUCAGUGGGAGUCAAUGGGGGUUCAGUGGGGAUAUGGGGACAGCACUGGGGAUAUCGUUGGGGACAGAGGGACAUGGGGAUAUGGGGACAUGAAUGGGGACAUGAUUGGGGAGAUUGUUGGGGAUAUGGGGACAUGAAUGGGGACAUGGGGACAUCGUUGGGGAUAUGGGGACAUGAAUGGGGACAUCGUUGGGGACAUGGGGAUAUGGGGACAUGAAUGGGGACAUGGGGACAUCGUUGGGGAUAUGGGGACACGAAUGGGGACAUGGGGACAUCGUUGGGGAUAAGGGACAUGAAUGGGGACAUCAUUGGGAACAUAGGGAUAUGGGGACAUGAAUGGGGACAUCAUUGGGAACAUAGGGAUAUGGGGACAUGAAU
ensembl:lncRNA